rnacentral:rRNA from 1 species
UACGGAAGGGGGCUAGCGUUACUCGGAAUGACUGGGCGUAAAGGGCUGCGUAGGCGGUUUGCUUAGUUAGGCGUGAAAUUCCUGGGCUCGAACCUGGGGCUGCGCUUAAUACAGGCAGACUAGAGUGUGAAAGAGGGUCGUGGAAUUUCCAGUGUAGAGGUGAAAUUCGUAGAUAUUGGAAAGAACACCAGUGGCGAAGGCGACUCACUGGACCACAUAUUGACGCUGAGGUGCGAAAGCGGUGGGGAGCA